rnacentral:rRNA from 1 species
UACGAAGGGGGCUAGCGUUGUUCGGAAUUACUGGGCGUAAAGGGCGCGUAGGCGGUCCUGAUCGUCGGAUGUGAAAGCCCUUGGCUCAACUGAGGAAGUGCAUCCGAAACUGGCAAGCUAGAGUACUAAAGAGGGUCGCGGAAUUCCCGGUGUAGAGGUGAAAUUCGUAGAUAUCGGGAGGAACACCGGUGGCGAAGGCGGCGACCUGGGUAGAUACUGACGCUGAGGUGCGAAAGCGUGGGGAGCAAACAGG